GGGGCUAGGAAGGCUUGCUUAGCAGGAAGAGUGUGUUUCCGGGUUGAGCCGGAGAGGUGGGAGGAGGCGGCGUUUCCGGCCGCCGUCGCUGUCCAGGGAGGCUGAGGCGACAGGGAGCUGUCCGGGUGGGGAGUCCGCACUACCUUAUGCCUCUAACUCCUCCUCUGGGUGAGGGGAGCGAAAGUUGGGGCCCCGACCCCAUGGACCGGGAGGAGGCGGAGGCCGCCGAGAGUCGGGGCCCCGCUGUGUGGCCCUGAGCCCCGAGGGUCCUGUGGUGACUGCAGUGAGCACAAAGGUGCAAUGAAGGAAGUCAAAGGUGAAAAUGUCAGGCGGACUUCCAGGAAAGCUUUGCCGUCUCUCACCUCGUGGUGGCUGUGCCCAACCGGCAAUAGAUGCAGUCAGUGAAGAGCAUUAGCUGACUCUCCCUGUGCUUUCUUAUGUGAUUAACAGACUGGAGG